rnacentral:rRNA from 1 species
GACGAACGCUGGCGGCGUGCUUAACACAUGCAAGUCGAGCGGUAAGGCCCUUUCGGGGGUACGACGAGCGGCGAACGGGUGAGUAACACGUGGGUGACCUGCCCUCAGCUCUGGGAUAAGCCUGGGAAACUGGGUCUAAUACCGGAUAUGACUCCAUGACGCAUGUUGUGGGGUGGAAAGCCUUGUGCGGCUGAGGAUGGGCCCGCGGCCUAUCAGCUUGUUGGUGGGGUGAGGCCUACCAAGGCGACGACGGGUAGCCGGCCUGAGAGGGCGACCGGCCACACUGGGACUGAGACACGGCCCAGACUCCUACGGGAGGCAGCAGUGGGGAAGUCUUGCGCAAUGGGCGAAAGCCUGACGCAGCGACGCCGCGUGAGGGA